ACGAACGCUGGCGGCGUGCUUCACACCUGCAAGUCGAACGGUGAAGCGCCUUCCUUUUUGGUGGGUGUGGAUGAGUGGCGAACGGGUGAGUAACACGUGAGUAACCUGCCCCCUUCUUCUGGAUAACCGCAUGAAAGUGUGGCUAAUACGGGAUAUUCUGGGUCUGUCGCAUGAUGGGUCUGGGAAAGAUAUUGUUUCGGUGGGGGAUGGGCUCGCGGCCUAUCAGCUUGUUGGUGGGGUGAUGGCCUACCAAGGCGGUGACGGGUAGCCGGCCUGAGAGGGUGGACGGUCACACUGGGACUGAGACACGGCCCAGACUCCUACGGGAGGCAGCAGUGGGGAAUAUUGCACAAUGGGCGCAAGCCUGAUGCAGCGACGCCGCGUGAGGGAUGGAGGCCUGCGGGUUGUGAACCUCUUUCGCCAGUGAAGCAGGCCUGCCUCGUUUGUGGGUGGGUUGACGGUAGCUGGAGAAGAAGCGCCGGCUAACUACGUG
rnacentral:rRNA from 1 species